CUCCCUGUAGCUCAGUUGGUAGAGCAUGGUGUUUGCAAUGCCAGGGUUGUGGGUUUGAUUCCCACGGGGGGC
rnacentral:tRNA from 1 species